UACGUAGGUGACCAGCGUUGUCCGGAUUUACUGGGCGUAAAGAGCGCGCAGGCGGUCGUUCAAGUCGAGUGUGAAAGCCCCCGGCUCAACUGGGGAGGGUCAUUCGAAACUGGUCGACUCGAAGGCAGGAGAGGGUAGUGGAAUUCCCGGUGUAGUGGUGAAAUGCGUAGAUAUCAGGAGGAACACCAAUUGCGAAGGCAGCUCGCUGGGACGUUACUGACGCUGAGACGCGAAAGCGUGGGGAGCAAACAGG
rnacentral:rRNA from 1 species